AAAGACUGACGCUCAGGCACGAAAGCGUGGGGAUCAAACAGGAUUAGAUACCCUGGUAGUCCACGCUGUAAACGAUGAUCACUCGUUGUUAGCGAUAUACUGUUAGCGACUGAGCGAAAGCAUUAAGUGAUCCACCUGGGGGGUACGGCGGCAACGUUGAAACUCAAAGGAAUUGACGGGGGCCCGCACAAGCGGAGGAGCAUGUGGUUUAAUUCGAUGAUACGCGAGGAACCUUACCUGGGCUUAAAUGUAGGACGACGUUUCGUGAAAGCGGAAUUUCCUUCGGGACGUCUUACAAGGUGCUGCAUGGUUGUCGUCAGCUCGUGCCGUGAGGUGUCGGGUUAAGUCCCAUAACGAGCGCAACCCCUAUCAUUAGUUGCCAUCAGGUCAAGCUGGGAACUCUAAUGAAACUGCCUACGCAAGUAGUGAGGAAGGUGGGGAUGACGUCAAAUCAGCACGGCCCUUAUGUCCAGGGCGACACACGUGCUACAAUGGCCAGUACAGAGGGUUGCAAA
rnacentral:rRNA from 1 species